GACGAACGCCGGCGGCGUGCUUAACACAUGCAAGUCGAACGGAAAGGCCCUUCGGGGUACUCGAGUGGCGAACGGGUGAGUAACACGUGGGUGAUCUGCCCUGCACUUCGGGAUAAGCCUGGGAAACUGGGUCUAAUACCGGAUAGGACUACGAAUCGCAUGGUUUGUGGUGGAAAGCUUUUGCGGUGUGGGAUGGGCCCGCGGCCUAUCAGCUUGUUGGUGGGGUGAUGGCCUACCAAGGCGACGACGGGUAGCCGGCCUGAGAGGGUGACCGGCCACACUGGGACUGAGAUACGGCCCAGACUCCUACGGGAGGCAGCAGUGGGGAAUAUUGCACAAUGGGCGCAAGCCUGAUGCAGCGACGCCGCGUGAGGGAUGACGGCCUUCGGGUUGUAAACCUCUUUCAGCAGGGACGAAGCGCAAGUGACGGUACCUGUAGAAGAAGGACCGGCCAACUACGUGCCAGCAGCCGCGGUAAUACGUAGGGUCCGAGCGUUGUCCGGAAUUACUGGGCGUAAAGAGCUCGUAGGUGGUUUGUCACGUUGUUCGUGAAAACUCACAGCUCAACUGUGGGCGUGCGGGCGAUACGGGCAGACUUGAGUACUGCAGGGGAGACUGGAAUUCCUGGUGUAGCGGUGGAAUGCGCAGAUAUCAGGAGGAACACCGGUGGCGAAGGCGGGUCUCUGGGCAGUAACUGACGCUGAGGAGCGAAAGCGUGGGGAGCGAACAGGAUUAGAUACCCUGGUAGUCCACGCCGUAAACGGUGGGUACUAGGUGUGGGUUUCCUUCCUUGGGAUCCGUGCCGUAGCUAACGCAUUAAGUACCCCGCCUGGGGAGUACGGCCGCAAGGCUAAAACUCAAAGAAAUUGACGGGGGCCCGCACAAGCGGCGGAGCAUGUGGAUUAAUUCGAUGCAACGCGAAGAACCUUACCUGGGUUUGACAUGCACAGGACGCUGGUAGAGAUAUCAGUUCCCUUGUGGCCUGUGUGCAGGUGGUGCAUGGCUGUCGUCAGCUCGUGUCGUGAGAUGUUGGGUUAAGUCCCGCAACGAGCGCAACCCUUGUCUCAUGUUGCCAGCACGUAAUGGUGGGGACUCGUGAGAGACUGCCGGGGUCAACUCGGAGGAAGGUGGGGAUGACGUCAAGUCAUCAUGCCCCCUAUGUCCAGGGCUUCACACAUGCUACAAUGGCCGGUACAAAGGGCUGCGAUGCCGUGAGGUGGAGCGAAUCCUUUCAAAGCCGGUCUCAGUUCGGAUCGGGGUCUGCAACUCGACCCCGUGAAGUCGGAGUCGCUAGUAAUCGCAGAUCAGCAACGCUGCGGUGAAUACGUUCCCGGGCCU
rnacentral:rRNA from 1 species